UGUUGGAAGCAUAGUGGUUUAUGUGUAGGACUACGACUCUGGAGACCAGGGUUCAAAUCCCAGCUCAGUCAU